GAGACGCAAUGGGGGAAGAGGGCAUGGCUUCAGCAGAAACAGAGAAAUCCAGGUUAGCUCGUCAGGAUCCAUAUGAAUCCUCUUGUUUUCUCAGCAUGAUAGUGCUAGACGAGCUCUAAUCGAUCCCCCCUGUCUUCCAUAGCAUGCAUACGGGAAAGCAACGGAUCUGUGUGCUCAAGAGUAUCGUGGCCUUGUGGGGGACUGCUAAUUACCCCGAUUCUGUUGUUUUCGGCAUCGAUUCGGAGAGGCUGAGCAUGCUGCGAGAGGUUACUAAGGACGACCCCAGUGACAUCGAUUCGGAGAGGCUAAGCAGGCCGUGUUAAUUGGAGCAAUCAAUUCAUCAUGGGUGUGGUUAUUUCGGUGCAGGGGGCUGGGCGUAUUGAUGGUGCGCAACGCCCUCUCUUAUUGGUGCAUUGAAGUGAAUGGCGGCCGACGACUAGGCGAUGACUUCACUCUCUAACAAAGUACGUGUUUGCAGCUCUUUCCUGAUUAGAGACAGGCUAAUUACAGUAGGGCGCCCGCUCAAGACGGGUGCUAGAUAAUAUAUUGGACAUAGCAGCUCCCGCCCCUGCAUGGGCAAGCUGGACGUACUAACUACUAGAACAUAUAUGACUACGGCAGGAAAAAGAAACGGCAGUCCCUACGCAGAGGGGAUACAAUACAUAUAUAUGACUACGACAGUGCCCUGUUCAUGGCCAUGGCCAUGCGGUGGGUACAUCAAACUGCACUGAGCACAUCAAGAUGAAGAAAUGUAUGAGUACGACACUACGUACGCAGACAGGAUGAUACUUCAGAACUUGAGGAGGAAGAUGGAGGUGGUGUUGAAUUCGGGGCAACGGAUGAGCGGGAGUGGAGGCAUCUGAUUGCUUGUGUGAUGAGAUGGAGGUGGUGUCGCACUACUAUGGGACAUGGACGAACACAUGCUUUGCAAGCCCAGCUAAGCUGAGAGGAAUGGAGAAGGGGAGCAGCUU
rnacentral:lncRNA from 1 species